CCUACGGGUGGCAGCAGUGAGGAAUAUUGGUCAAUGGACGAGAGUCUGAACCAGCCAAGUAGCGUGAAGGAUGACUGCCCUAUGGGUUGUAAACUUCUUUUAUAUGGGAAUAAAAUGUUCCACGUGUGGGAUUUUGUAUGUACCAUAUGAAUAAGGAUCGGCUAACUCCGUGCCAGCAGCCGCGGUAAUACGGAGGAUCCGAGCGUUAUCCGGAUUUAUUGGGUUUAAAGGGAGAGUAGAUGGAUUGUUAAGUCAGUUGUGAAAGUUUGCGGCUCAACCGUAAAAUUGCAGUUGAAACUGGCAGUCUUGAGUACAGUAGAGGUGGGCGGAAUUCGUGGUGUAGCGGUGAAAUGCUUAGAUAUCACGAAGAACUCCGAUUGCGAAGGCAGUUCACUGGACUGCAACUGACACUGAGGCUCGAAAGUGUGGGUAUCAAACAGGAUUAGAUACCCGGGUAGGC
rnacentral:rRNA from 1 species